ACUCCUACGGGAGGCAGCAGUGGGGAAUAUUGCACAAUGGGCGAAAGCCUGAUCCAGCCAUGCCGCGUGUGUGAAGAAGGUCUUCGGAUUGUAAAGCACUUUAAGUUGGGAGGAAGGGCAGUAAGCUAAUACCUUGCUGUUUUGACGUUACCGACAGAAUAAGCACCGGCUAACUCUGUGCCAGCAGCCGCGGUAAU
rnacentral:rRNA from 1 species